rnacentral:rRNA from 1 species
GCUAACUAGGUGCGUGCAGCGGGGGGAAUCGGUGGGGGGCAAGCGUGUUCCGGAUUUAUUGGGCGUAAAGGGCGUGUAGGCGGCCAGGUAGGUCCGUUGUGAAAACUGGAGGCUUAACCUCCAGCGGUCGAUGGAAACCAUCUGGCUAGAGUCCGGAAGAGGAGAGUGGAAUUCCUGGUGUAGCGGUGAAAUGCGCAGAUAUCAGGAAGAACACCCGUGGCGAAGGCGGCUCUCUGGGACGGUACUGACGCUGAGACGCGAAAGCGUGGGGAGCGAACAGGAUUAGAUACCCGAGUAGUC